CCGCUUACCUUCUGAGCAUACUUGAAUGAUUUGGUGUGAUGUGCUCUGAGCCCUGCUUCUGGGUCCUGCGAGGUGUUCUGAGGCAAGCUCCGAAGUUGCGACAUGGUGAGCACAGGGUUACUGCCAACAACUGGAAGGAGCAGGGGGCUGAGCAGCGGGAGCUGGUGUGGUGGGUCUUUCCCCCGGCUGGGUGGGAACCUGCGGCCACCAGUGUGGUCCCUUGAUGUCCUAACCAAUCGCUGCACCUGAGGGUAGCCUCUGCAUAACUUUACUAUGUCAGCUGUAUCUGCUCAAGAGCAUUUGGAACAGUGGGUUGUGCGUAGAAAGAUCCCUGGCAGAAUGAGAAACUCGGAGAACCCUAGUUUCUACAAGUUCUGCCCUCGGCAUUUAACAUUAAGAUGUUUGAUCCAUUUGGAAUUAAUUUUGUGGAGGUUGGAAAAGACAUCUCAUGUUUUCGGUAGCAAUGCAAUAUUAAGCUGUAGUGUAAAGGAGUAGAAUUGGUGAUGUGAAGGAUUUACUAAUGCUUAGUGUCGGAGGCCAGCUCGGGCGAUCUAAGGUAGCCAAUGGGGAAGAGCGUCAGCAGGGGCAAGACUUGGACUUGGGGGAUAUUUAGGGUUACUUUUUAAUAACACGACGUUUACCUGUCUUAAAUCUCAGUGAAUUUGUAGUAGCCUGAGUUCCCCUGAGGCCAGAAACUGCAGUCUCUGACGUCUAGCACCUCAUAGUAAAACGGAGAUUAAGUAAAGUAGGCUUUGUCCUUAUCUCCACCUGCUAGUUAAAGACUCAGGAAGAAAAAGAGACACUUUGAAAAGUGAUUUUAAUCUUUACUUCUAAGUUCUUUUUCUCAAAAAAAAAAAAGAAAAGAAAAAAAUUC
rnacentral:lncRNA from 1 species